rnacentral:misc_RNA from 1 species
CCAAACUUGGUCAUUUAGAGGAAGUAAAAGUCGUAACAAGGUUUCCGUAGGUGAACCUGCGGAAGGAUCAUUAUUGAUUUUUAAAGAGGAAGUGAGCUUUUGGAGUUGUGCUGGCCUUGAAGGGCAUGUGCACACUUUGAAGUUUCACUUUGUCUUACAUUUCACACCAUGUGCAUCUUUUUGGUAGGUCUUUCGAGAUCCUAUGUAUUUUUAUUAUACUCCAAUGUAUGUCUAUAGAAUGUCUUUUAAUUCUUAUCAUUGCAUAAGUUACUUUUGAAAGUGAUUGAUGCAAGUAAGUUGUUACAUACAACUUUCAGCAAUGGAUCUCUUGGCUCUCGCAUCGAUGAAGAACGCAGC